ensembl:snoRNA
UGGACCAAUGAUGACCAGGCUCGGCGGCGAUCUAAGUCAUGCAUUGACGAUGACUACAUCUCUUCCUGUCUGAGGUUCAC